rnacentral:rRNA from 1 species
AUUGAACGCUGGCGGCAGGCUCAACACAUGCAAGUCGAGCGGGGUGAUGGUGCUUGCACUAUCACUUAGCGGCGGACGGGUGAGUAAUGCUUAGGAAUCUGCCUAUUAGUGGGGGACAACAUCUCGAAAGGGAUGCUAAUACCGCAUACGUCCUACGGGAGAAAGCAGGGGAUCACUUGUGACCUUGCGCUAAUAGAUGAGCCUAAGUCGGAUUAGCUAGUUGGUGGGGUAAAGGCCUACCAAGGCGACGAUCUGUAGCGGGUCUGAGAGGCUGAUCCGCCACACUGGGACUGGGACACGGCACAGACUCCUACGGGAGGCAGCAGGGGGGAAUAUUGGACAAGGGGGGGAACCCUGAUCCAGCCAUGCCGCGUGUGUGAAGAAGGCCUUAUGGUUGUAAAGCACUUUAAGCGAGGAGGAGGCUCUUUUGGUUAAUACCCAAGAUGAGUGGACGUUACUCGCAGAAUAAGCACCGGCUAACUCUGUGCCAGCAGCCGCCGCAG